rnacentral:rRNA from 1 species
AUAUACCGGAUAAGUCAUGCGUGCUGGAAGGCUGUGUGGUUGAAAAGUAAUGCUGUUGGAUGGGUCUGCGGCUGAUUAGGUUGUUGCCGGUGUAAUGUACCGUCAAGCCUGUAAUCAGUACGGGUUGUGGGAGCAAGAGCCCGGAGAUGGAUUCUGAGACACGAAUCCAGGCCCUACGGGGCGCAGCAGGCGCGAAAACUCUACAAUGCAGGUAACUGCGAUAGGGGAACAUCGAGUGAUCCUCAUAUUGGGGGUCUGUCCACCCGCCUAAAAAGCGGGUGUUAGCAAGGGCCGGGCAAGACCGGUGCCAGCCGCCGCGGUAAUACCGGCGGCUCGAGUGGUGGCCGAUAUUAUUGAGUCUAAAGGGUCCGUAGCCGGCUUUGCAAGUCUCUCGGGAAAUCCAGCGGCUUAACCGUUGGGCGUCUGGGGGCUACUACAUUGCUUGGGACUGGGAGAGGCGAGAGGUACUCAGGGGGUAGGAGUGAAAUCCUGUAAUCCUUUGGGGACCACCGGUGGCGAAGGCGUCUCGCCAGAACAGGUCCGACGGUGAGGGACGAAAGCUAGGGGCACGAACCGGAUUAGAUACCCGGGUAGUCCUAGCCGUAAACGAUGCUCGCUAGGUGUCACAACAGUCGUGAACUGUUGUGGUGCCGUAGGGAAGCCGUGAAGCGAACCAC